UACGAAGGGGCUAGCGUUGUUCGGAAUUACUGGGCGUAAAGCGCACGUAGGCGGACAUUUAAGUCAGGGGUGAAAUCCCGGGCUCAACCCCGGAACUGCCUUUGAUACUGGGUGUCUUGAGUGUGGUAGAGGUGAGUGGAAUUGCGAGUGUAGAGGUGAAAUUCGUAGAUAUUCGCAGGAACACCAGUGGCGAAGGCGGCUCACUGGACCACAACUGACGCUGAGGUGCGAAAGCGUGGGGAGCAAACAGG
rnacentral:rRNA from 1 species